rnacentral:rRNA from 4 species
AAACCAACAGGGAUUGCCUUAGUAGCGGCGAGUGAAGCGGCAAAAGCUCAAAUUUGAAAUCUGGCACCUUCGGUGUCCGAGUUGUAAUUUGAAGAUUGUAACCUUGGGGUUGGCUCUUGUCUAUGUUUCUUGGAACAGGACGUCACAGAGGGUGAGAAUCCCGUGCGAUGAGAUGCCCAAUCCUAUGUAAGGUGCUUUCGAAGAGUCGAGUUGUUUGGGAAUGCAGCUCUAAGUGGGUGGUAAAUUCCAUCUAAAGCUAAAUAUUGGCGAGAGACCGAUAGCGAACAAGUACAGUGAUGGAAAGAUGAAAAGAACUUUGAAAAGAGAGUGAAAAAGUACGUGAAAUUGUUGAAAGGGAAGGGUUUGAGAUCAGACUCGAUAUUUUGUGAGCCUUGCCUUCGUGGCGGGGUGACCCGCAGCUUAUCGGGCCAGCAUCGGUUUGGGCGGUAGGAUAAUGGCGUAGGAAUGUGACUUUGCUUCGGUGAAGUGUUAUAGCCUGCGUUGAUGCUGCCUGCCUAGACCGAGGACUGCGAUUUUAUCAAGGAUGCUGGCAUAAUGAUCCCAAACCGC